GACGAACGCUGGCGGCGUGCUUAACACAUGCAAGUCGAACGGUGAAGCGCCUUCCUUUUUGGUGGGUGUGGAUGAGUGGCGAACGGGUGAGUAACACGUGAGUAACCUGCCCCCUUCUUCUGGAUAACCGCAUGAAAGUGUGGCUAAUACGGGAUAUUCUGGGUCUGUCGCUUGAUUGGUCUGGGAAAGAUAUUGUUUCUGUUGGGGAUGGGAUCGCGGCCUUUCAGGUUGUUGGUGGGGUGAUGGCCUACCAAGGCGGUGAGGGGUAGCCGGCCUGAGAGGGUGGAAGGGAAGAGAGGGAGGGAGACACGGCGAAGACUGCGAAGGGAGGCAGCAGGGGGGAAUAGAGAGCAAUGGGAGAAAGACUGAUGAAGCGACGAGGCGUGAGGGAUGGAGGCCUGCGGGUUGUGAACGUCUUUCGCGAGUGAAGCAGGCCUGCCUAGGUUGUGGGUGGGUUGACGGUAGCUGGAGAAGAAGCGCCGGCUAACUACGUG
rnacentral:rRNA from 1 species